GCUAAAGGCCCAAAGAUAAGUGUAUUUUGGAAGUUGCUGUUUGGUACCGUGACCUGUCUGUCCUUCGCCCUGCCUGUGUUAUCGGAUAGGUCCAAGAUGGCGAAGACAACUUGUCCAGACUGGUACGGCCUAAAUUACACUUUGCCCAUGUUCAAAAAGUGUGAGAUGAAGCGACUCCAGGAUGGCAGCAUGGUGCAGAGCAUCCCCAAGCUCAUUCCUUUCCCUUCUGUCAUCGGCGGGUGCCACCAGAGGAAGAGUAAAGAAGGGAUCCCGGGUGGGCAUAGAAUAUGCAGAAUCCCGUAUUGUGUCAAAGAUCUCUGUAAAAACGGCUGGUGUGAGGAGACUAUGGUAGGCUACGACUGUCACUGCUCAAGUGGGUUUCAAGGGAGACACUGCGAUGAGCGUAGGUGUAA